rnacentral:pre_miRNA from 1 species
UGAGGCUGACAGAAGAGAGUGAGCACAUAUCGGUAACGGGCGGUAGGGUUUCUUUGCGGCGUUCCGUUCCGUUGCGUGCUCACUUCUCUUUCUGUCAGGCUCU